ACCCGCUGAACUUAAGCAUAUCAAUAAGCGGAGGAAAAGAAACCAACAGGGAUUGCCCUAGUAACGGCGAGUGAAGCGGCAACAGCUCAAAUUUGAAAUCUGGCGUCUUUGGCGUCCGAGUUGUAAUUUGCAGAGGGCGCUUUGGCAUUGGCAGCGGUCCAAGUUCCUUGGAACAGGACGUCACAGAGGGUGAGAAUCCCGUACGUGGUCGCUAGCCUUUACCGUGUAAAGCCCCUUCGACGAGUCGAGUUGUUUGGGAAUGCAGCUCUAAAUGGGAGGUAAAUUUCUUCUAAAGCUAAAUACUGGCCAGAGACCGAUAGCGCACAAGUAGAGUGAUCGAAAGAUGAAAAGCACUUUGGAAAGAGAGUUAAAAAGCACGUGAAAUUGUUGAAAGGGAAGCGCUUGCAGCCAGACUUGCUUACAGUUGCUCAUCCGGGCUUUUGCCCGGUGCACUCUUCUGUAGGCAGGCCAGCAUCAGUUUGGGCGGUAGGAUAAAGGUCUCUGUCACGUACCUCUCUUCGGGGAGGCCUUAUAGGGGAGACGACAUACUACCAGCCUGGACUGAGGUCCGCGCAUCUGCUAGGAUGCUGGCGUAAUGGCUGU
rnacentral:rRNA from 1 species